CGUAGAGUUUGAUCCUGGCUCAGGACAACGCUGGCGGCGUGCCUAACACAUGCAAGUCGAGCGAGUGGAGUUCUUCGGAACAAAGCUAGCGGCGGACGGGUGAGUAACACGUGGGCAACCUGCCUCAUAGAGGGGGAAUAGCCUUCCGAAAGGGAGAUUAAUACCACAUAAGAUUGUAGCUUCGCAUGAAGUAGCAAUUAAAGGAGCAAUCCGCUAUGAGAUGGGCCCGCGGCGCAUUAGCUAGUUGGUGAGGUAACGGCUCACCAAGGCGACGAUGCGUAGCCGACCUGAGAGGGUGAUCGGCCACAUUGGGACUGAGACACGGCCCAGACUCCUACGGGAGGCAGCAGUGGGGAAUAUUGCACAAUGGGGGAAACCCUGAUGCAGCAACGCCGCGUGAGCGAUGAAGUAUCUCGGUAUGUAAAGCUCUAUCAGCAGGGAAGAAAGUGACAGUACCUGACUAAGAAGCCCCGGCUAACUACGUG
rnacentral:rRNA from 1 species